UCCGACGAACGGGGCUCUGAUACCAAUUGUUGGUGGGAGGAACCACUGGUGGUGGCUUUGAAACACUCAGAGGGGAUAAAACACACUGGUUUUAUUACAAAAUCCGAAGCUUACAAUUAACACAAAAACAAAAGCUUAAACACGCCCUCUCUCUCUCUUUCUCUUUCAAGUGUUUCUCACAAUUCUCUCCACACAAUAUAACAGAGGCUGGGCACUCUAUUUAUACACGAAAUCAAAACAAGAAAAUUCAACCUUCAAGUGUGAAGGCGGCUGGCGGCUGUGG
rnacentral:lncRNA from 1 species